UACAGAGGGGGCAAGCGUUGUUCGGAAUUACUGGGCGUAAAGGGCGCGUAGGCGGCCUUCUAAGUCGAACGUGAAAUCCCUGGGCUCAACCCAGGAACUGCGUCCGAUACUGGAAGGCUUGAAUCCGGGAGAGGGAUGCGGAAUUCCAGGUGUAGCGGUGAAAUGCGUAGAUAUCUGGAGGAACACCAAUAGCGAAGGCAGCUCGCUGGGACGUUACUGACACUGAGGCGCGAAAGCGUGGGGAGCGAACAGG
rnacentral:rRNA from 1 species